rnacentral:rRNA from 1 species
UUAGGAAUUUUGCGCAAUGGGGGAAACCCUGACGCAGCAACGCCGCGUGAGUGAAGAAGGCCCUUGGGUCGUAAAGCUCUUUCAGUAGGGAAGAAGUUGACGGUACCUACAGAAGAAGCACCGGCUAACUCCGUGCCAGCAGCCGCGGUAAUACGGAGGGUGCAAGCGUUAUUCGGAAUGACUGGGCGUAAAGCGCACGUAGGCGGCUUAUUAAGUCUGAUGUGAAAGCCCCGAACUCAAUUUGGGAAGUGCAUUGGAUACUGGUAGGCUAGAGUAUAGGAGAGGAGAGCGGAAUUCCAGGUGUAGAGGUGAAAUUCGUAGAUAUCUGGAGGAACAACGGAGGCGAAGGCGGCUCUCUGGACUAUUACUGACGCUGAGGUGCGAAAGCGUGGGGAGCGAA